AGGAUAAACGCUGGCGGCGUGCCUAAUCAAUGCGAGUCGAACGGACACUUUCGGGUGUCAGUGGCGUCCGGGUGAGUAACGCGUAGCUAACCUGCCACCUCCUGGGGGAUACCCGCCAGAAAUGGCGGCUAAUACCGCAUAGCCUGACAGCGUGCAAGCGCUGGCAGGAAAGCCGCAAGGUGGAAGGUGAGGGGGCUGCGUCCGAUUAGCUAGUCGGUGGGGUAACGGCCUACCGAGGCGACGAUCGGUAGCUGGU
rnacentral:rRNA from 1 species